GGUAAAAUGGCUGAGUAAGCAUUAGACUGUAAAUCUAAAGAC
rnacentral:tRNA from 1 species